CUUCGGUCAGCGAGUAGAGCGGCGCACGGGUGAGUAACACGUGGGUUAUUUGCCACGGAGAUCGGGAUAACCUGCCGAAAGGCGGGCUAAUACCGGAUACGUUCCCUUGGGAUGCGUCCUGGGGGAAGAAAAGGGACUGAAGAAGCCCCGCUCUGUGAUGAGCCCGCGGUCCAUCAGGUAGUUGGUGAGGUAACGGCUCACCAAGCCUAAGACGGAUAGCUGGUCUGAGAGGAUGAUCAGCCACACUGGAACUGAGACACGGUCCAGACUCCUACGGGAGGCAGCAGUGGGGAAUUUUGGUCAAUGGGCGCAAGCCUGAACCAGCAACGCCGCGUGGGUGAUGAAGGCCUUCGGG
rnacentral:rRNA from 1 species